GCCCUGGUAGUGAUAGAUUGCUGCAGGAACUGGAAGGGUCAAAGAAAAUGUGAAUUAGAGCCCUUACAACGUUAUAGGAGAGCCAUCUGAGUUGGAUACAGCUACUGUCUUUGCCAAAUGUCAACUUCAGAAGCUAGACGGCUCAAUCCUAGAUGAUUCUUACAUCUCUGUCUCCACAGAAGGCCAGCAUUACAAUUGCCAUCAUAGGAUCCAGGUCCAGGUCAGAAACAUACCCAUUGCCAAGCUUGGCUACCAGCAUUGGCUCCUCUGGACCAUAGAUUCAGCUGACUCCCAAGGAAAUACUUCUCAGAAGAUUUCACUUCAAUGGAACUCUGCCUUAAACAAAGACAUCUGGCACCAUUUAUGAGUGCAAAUGCAGAGGCAGGAUGACUCUCAGCAAGCAAUUUUACAUGUGCUGACAUCAACACCUGUUCAUCGCCACAACGAGACACCAACUAUUCCUAAGAGGAAAAAGAUGUAACCUAUAUACCCACAAAGUGGAUUGGGAAUAUAUGGUCAUAUGGUAUAUUAAAACCAUAUCAUAGAAACUAUUGAGAAUUUACCUAACACAUCAUGACAACAAAGUGAACAGCACCCUACCUGAACCAUGUAAAAGGGAAAAAGCUGUAAUGAAGACAUCCCUAUGAACCUGUCAACUAUCUUGUGUGUGUACACUGGAAGACAGACAGACAUAGAAGUCCUGACUGUCCUUGAUGCUUCAGCUCAGCAUGCUACUUGAUGUCCUACAGCUUGAUGUCGCCCACUAAAGUUUCUAGUUUUUGACAGGUCCUAUGUCUCUUAGGCUCUACUCUACCCUGCAACCCAAUAACUUGGCUAUGUGGGUCUACAAAAUCUUCAACCAGAUUAAUAAAGGUCUACUGUAAACACCUUCAG
rnacentral:lncRNA from 1 species